GGAGGAUGCUGUGACCCCUCAAUGGAUAUGCUAAUCAUCACAUCAGAAGCACAACUAGCUUCAAAUGGAAACCAGAUUGCACUUGGUCACUGACGAAGCAGGAGAUUAAACAAGCUACACUGUGUCUCUGGGAGAACAAAAAGCCAAAAGGCACAUUUAUCACCUCUGAAUCACAGUAAGUCCUGCCUUCAAACAAGAUUUUCUU
rnacentral:lncRNA from 1 species